UACGUAGGUGGCGAGCGUUAUCCGGAUUUAUUGGGUUUAAAGGGUGCGUAGGCGGCUUAAUAAGUCGGUGGUCAAAGGUAGCAGCUUAACUGUUUUACAUGCCACCGAUACUGUUGAGCUUGAGAUAUGUGGAGGCAGAUGGAAUUUCCGGUGUAGCGGUGAAAUGCAUAGAUACCGGAAGGAACUCCUAUUGCGAAGGCAAUCUGCUACAGAUAAACUGACGCUGAUGCACGAAAGCGUGGGGAUCAAACAGGAUUAGAUACCCGGGUAGU
rnacentral:rRNA from 1 species